rnacentral:rRNA from 1 species
UACGAAGGGGGCUAGCGUUGCUCGGAAUCACUGGGCGUAAAGCGCACGUAGGCGGCUUUCUAAGUCAGGGGUGAAAUCCUGGAGCUCAACUCCAGAACUGCCUUUGAUACUGGAAAGCUUGAGUUCGGGAGAGGUGAGUGGAACUGCGAGUGUAGAGGUGAAAUUCGUAGAUAUUCGCAAGAACACCAGUGGCGAAGGCGGCUCACUGGCCCGAUACUGACGCUGAGGAGCGAAAGCGUGGGGAGCGAACAGG